GCUGGGCAUAGUGGAAUACCUGUAGUCUCAGCUACUCAGGAGGCUGAGGCAGGAGGAUGACGUGAGCCCAGGAGUUCUGGGUUAUAGUGUUAUAUGCCAAUUGGGUGUCUGCACUAAGUUUGGCAUCAAUAUGGUGACUUACCAGAAGCCAGGAACCACUAGGUUGCCUAAGGAGCAAUAAACCGGCCCAGGAUGGAAACAAAGCAAGUCAAAACUCCCAUGUUGAUCACGUGAGAGUUAAAGUGACUAGUCCAGGCAUGAUAUAUUCAGAGCACU
rnacentral:SRP_RNA from 1 species